rnacentral:sRNA from 1 species
CCUUGAUUGCAUUUUUUGCUGUGACCAGAAAUAUUUCGAAUUCAGAUGCUGAUAUUGGAAGCUUUUGGUACAUCUGCAGGUGUUGCGCACAGUGUUAUCAUACGACUGCAUUAAUUGUUUUUAUUGAAUGAGAAAAUUGAUAGGACAGUGAUGACUGGCGUCGACUAGAGUAUUCUAGAGUAAAAUAUUAUAAGAUUAAUCAGACUUACCACAUACGAUCUGCCAAGAAAAUGCCAAAAUGCUGUCAAAUUCAUCUUGAAACACUGUGUCUUCAACACCAGCGAACUUUAUUGAUGGUGGUGUUAUUGCAGUUGACUUUUGUAAGCUUCUGACAAGUGCAGGUAAAUUAAAUGUUCAGUUCAACGUGGAAUUCGUGUAAAAGAUCGAUUUUGCUCCAAAGCCUUUGUAAAUCGAAUAAAAGUUACUUCUAGUGCAUGCUGACCA